rnacentral:rRNA from 1 species
UCCAGACUCCUACGGGAGGCAGCAGUAGGGAAUCUUUCACAAUGGGCGAAAGCCUGAUGGAGCAACGCCGCGUGCAGGAUGAAGGCCUUCGGGUUGUAAACUGCUUUUAUAAGCGGGAAAUAUGAUGGUAACUUAUGAAUAAGCAUCGGCUAACUCCGUGCCAGCAGCCGCGGUAAUACGGAGGAUGCGAGCGUUAUCCGGAUUUAUUGGGUUUAAAGGGUGCGUAGGCGGGCUGUUAAGUCAGCGGGCAAAUGGGGGGGCUAAACCCCGGCCUGCCGUUGAAACUGGCGGCCUCGAGUGGGCGAGAAGUAUGCGGAAUGCGUGGUGUAGCGGUGAAAUGCAUAGAUAUCACGCAGAACUCCGAUUGCGAAGGCAGCAUACCGGCGCCCUACUGACGCUGAGGCACGAAAGCGUGGGUAUCGAACAGGAUUAGAUACCCGAGUA